rnacentral:rRNA from 1 species
UACGAAGGGGGCUAGCGUUGCUCGGAAUCACUGGGCGUAAAGCGCACGUAGGCGGGUCGUUAAGUCGGGGGUGAAAUCCUGGAGCUCAACUCCAGAACUGCCUUCGAUACUGGCGAUCUUGAGUCUGGGAGAGGUGAGUGGAACUCCGAGUGUAGAGGUGAAAUUCGUAGAUAUUCGGAAGAACACCAGUGGCGAAGGCGACUCGCUGGACAAGUAUUGACGCUGAGGUGCGAAAGCGUGGGGAGCAAACAGG